rnacentral:rRNA from 1 species
AGAGUUUGAUCAUGGCUCAGGAUGAACGCUAGCUACAGGCUUAACACAUGCAAGUCGAGGGGCAGCAUGUUGGUUGCUUGCAACCAACGAUGGCGACCGGCGCACGGGUGAGUAACGCGUAUCCAACCUACCCUUGUCCAUCGGAUAACCCGUCGAAAGGCGGCCUAACACGAUAUGCGGUUCACAGCAGGCAUCUAACGUGAACGAAAUGUAAAGGAGAAGGAUGGGGAUGCGUCUGAUUAGCUUGUUGGCGGGGUAACGGCCACCAAGGCUACGAUCAGUAGGGGUUCUGAGAGGAAGUCCCCCANAUUGGAACUGAGACACGGUCCAAACUCCUACGGCAGGCA